UCUACGGGAGGCAGCAGUGGGGGAUAUUGCACAAUGGGGGGAACCCUGAUGCAGCGACGCCGCGUGGGUGAAGAAGCGCCUCGGUGCGUAAAGCCCUGUCAGCAGGGAAGAAAUUGACGGUACCUGUAGAAGAAGCCCCGGCUAACUACGUGCCAGCAUCCGCGGUAAUACGUAGGGGGCACGCGGUAUCCGGAUUUACUGGGUGUAAAGGGGGCGCAGGCGGCGAUGCAAGCCAGGUGGGAGAGCGCGGGGCCCAACCCCGGGAGUGCUGUUGGAACUGCGUGGCUGGAGUGCAGGAGGGGCAGGCGGAAUGCGUGGUGUAGCGGUGAAAUGCGUAGAUAGCAGGAGGAACACCGGUGGCGAAGGCGGCCUGCUGGACUGCAACUGACGUUGAGGCCCGAAAGCGUGGGGAGCAAACAGGAUUAGAUACCCCUGUAGUC
rnacentral:rRNA from 1 species